UUGGAAGAAAAAAAAAAUCUUUAUUAGGUAUCAUCAUUCUCAUAAUUGUUAUUAUUGACAUACUCAUCACCCUGAAUCAGCCAGCCAAGCCUCCAACACACAGGCUCCAACACAGCCCUCAGCUGCUGUUGACUCAUGGGGUUCUGAAACCACCCACAGUAUAGAGGAAGGGCGGCUCCAUCUGUCCCAGGGAGAAUGCUUUGCAGCUGCCCCCAGAGAACUCCAUUCUCAGGUUGGAACAAGGGGUGGGGGUGUUAUGUAAGUUCAAUCGAGGGAAGGACAAAAUUUAUUUCCCUGUGGAGACAGUAUCGAUGGAUGGAUGGGUGUGUGUGUGUGUGUGUGUGUGUGUGUGUAUGUGUGUUUAAAUGGCAUUCAUCUGAAAGUACAGCCCCUCCUGAUUCUCGAUUUACUCUCUAGGUCAGUUAAAGGUCCCUCUAUGAGGAGCAAGCAUUUUCUAUCUCCCUCCGAAUGCCUCAUCACAAGGUAACUGUCUGCCGCUUGUCCCCUCACAUAAGCAGAUCCAACCUGAGCCCUGAAGCAGAUUUAAAAGCCCUCCUCUUUAGCUCCAGCCUGACCUAGAUUGCAGGAGGAUGAAGACUAAGGAUUCAUUUGCAAUGCUUAUGAUGGGCAUCUACUGCAGGGUUCUCAGAAAGAAACCCUGUUCCCCUUCUCCUCUGAUAGCACCACAACUAAAUCUUCCUGUUCAAUUGCUACAUAGGACAUGAAGCUUUUCCUAAUGAAUUACCUGCCCCAGGAAGAAGAUCUGCAACUCGCUAGUGCUUCAGGCAAUUUUUAGCAUGUGUCAGAUUGUGUUUGUGUUGGAGAAGUUGGAGUGUGUGUGUGUGUGUGUGUGUGUGUGUGUUUUCCGGUGCAGGCAAACUGUUUUUUCCCCCUGUCUUUAUGCAGAGACAUACAGUUCCACAUACCUUACAAAGAAAAAGCCUGGUUUGUGUUUAAGAGUCUGAUGGGAUCAUGCAAAAACAGUGUUCAUGUGCAUAAAGGAUGAGACCCCGGUUGGGAUAAAAUGUUCGUAUUCAUAUACCAGAUACCGUUUUAAUGUGAACUGGACAAGGCUUCCUUUGAGUUUCAUUUAGAGGCAGCUACCAUGUAUAAUACAUUACAAAACCAGUGCAUUACACUUGAAAAAAUGGUCCUGACUAAUAAGGAGCUACCGAUUGGUGUGUUCAUUAAAUAUACAGAUUUGAAGCAGAAUUAGUAGAAAUUGCUAAAAUGGAAAUCUUGUCAAUCAUAAACGAGUCAGCUGACAAGUCGGAGGGAAAACCCCCCUAAUGUGAUUCAUAUAUUGUAGGAUUGUGUCUGAGGAUGAUUUAAAUAAAUUUGGACAUUAGGUGAUGACAAGAUGAAAAUGAAAAAUAGCAUCCAAUUGGGCAAAAGGCUGUAGUAGGCCUGGGGGGGAGUGUGAAAAUGAAAGCGAGGGGGGAAAUGGAAGAACGAGGGGGUCAUUUGGAGGAUAGCUUGUUUGUAAUGAAUGAAUGAAUAGAUGAAAUCUAGAAUAUUUAUUUCCCAGUAGCCGACACUCAGGAGACAUUCAACUAUUGUUCAUAAAAGAAAAUCAGUGUCUCUUCUGUGUUGAGCAGCAUCAAACAGAUUAUCUGCAUAUAUAACUCUGCUGGGAGGCCAAAAUGUCGUCAGCUCCAAGUACAGUUCGGGGAAUAUCGGCUUAUUUUCGAUCUUUAAUAUCAAAAAUGCCAUAAACCGGUAUUUAAACACACUGUAUGUAAAACGAAGGGGGGCACUUCGUACCAGCCAGCUAUGUGCCUGGCAAGGGGCUAUUUAGGCAUUUUUCAUAUAUUACCUAAAAUCUCACAAUCUGCCAAUUCCGUUCCACAGAAGAGGUGAGCAGUUAAGUGACUUCCUCAAGUGCAUAAGCUGGAGCUGGAAUCCAGUUGUGAUCGGCCCCAAAGACUCUGCUUUCCCCAUUACCACUCCAUACUGCGGGCUUCCCAGAAGGAACAAGAAUAACGUUACAUAAUGUAAAGCUGAUGUAAAAAAUUAAAACUUGUCAGCGUUUGUCCUGCCCCCCCGUACCACGUUGAAGCAAAGCACCAUGACACUGACAGAGUAGAUGAGAAACACCACUUAAGAUCAUUUUUCCUGCUAACGUCUGUUGUACACUAUGCAAAUAUGAUUGCAAAAGUGGAACAUUAUCAACAC